CAAGAAAUGUGUAUUCUUUUUCCAUCAAGAAGAGGAAAGGCUGGGAGAACUUCAAGAGCCCUAGAACUAACUUCAGGACCACGGAGAGCUCCCUGAAAAGUUAAAGGUUGAGCCAGGAGCAGGAGAAAAAAUGAAGUCAGUAGCUACACCAUAUCCUCAACUUCUACAGAAGACAAAAUAUUCUCCACUAAAUUGAAUCAAGGCACUUUAGGGAAAUGGCUGAUUCCAAGGCUGGCUCCGGGAAAAAACAAGAUAACUGGAACAUCUUGUGCCAGAAAGCAAGAAAACAUUCAAAGUAUCAUAGGGGUCACAUCAAGGGACACAGACGCCAGCUUGAAGUGGCUCUCACCAGCCAAAAAUGACGUGAUUUGAGAAUCAAAACAAAUGAGAAUAGUAAUGAA